GAUGAACGCUGGCGGCGUGCCUAAUACAUGCAAGUCGAGCGAACAGACGAGGAGCUUGCUCCUCUGACGUUAGCGGCGGACGGGUGAGCAACACGUGGAUAACCUACCUAUAAGACUGGGAUAACUUCGGGAAACCGGAGCUAAUACCGGAUAAUAUAUUGAACCGCAUGGUUCAAUAGUGAGAGACGGUUUUGCUGUCACUUAUAGAUGGAUCCGCGCCGCAUUAGCUAGUUGGUAAGGUAACGGCUUACCAAGGCAACGAUGCGUAGCCGACCUGAGAGGGUGAUCGGCCACAAUGGAACUGAGACACGGUCCAGACGCCUACGGGAGGCAGCAGUAGGGAAUCUUCCGCAAUGGGCGAAAGAUUGAAGGAGAAACGAAGCGGGAGUGAUGAAGGUCUUCGGAUCGUAAAACUCUGUUAAUAGGGAAGAACAAAUGUGUAAGUAACUAUGCACGUCUUGACGGUACCUAAUCAGAAAGACACGGCUAACUACGUG
rnacentral:rRNA from 1 species